AUACCAUGUCGAGGACAUAUGACCAACAUCCCUUUGAAUCAUUCCCAUGUUUCAUGCAGUGUCUCCAUUGGUCUCUGUUUGAAACUAAAAAUUUCAUCAAUUUGUUG
rnacentral:snoRNA from 1 species